UCCUACGGGGGGCAGCAGUGGGGGAUAUUGCACAAUGGGGGAAACCCUGAUGCAGCGACGCCGCGUGAGUGAAGAAGUAUUUCGGUACGUAAAGCUCUAUCAGCAGGGAAGAAAAAUGACGGUACCUGACUAAGAAGCCCCGGCUAACUACGUGCCAGCAGCCGCGGUAAUACGUAGGGGGCAAGCGUUAUCCGGAUUUACUGGGUGUAAAGGGAGCGUAGACGGCAGCGCAAGUCUGAAGUGAAAUCCCAUGGCUUAACCAUGGAACUGCUUUGGAAACUGUGCAGCUGGAGUGCAGGAGAGGG
rnacentral:rRNA from 1 species